UGUAGGAGUGAGCCUGCUCGCGAUGGCGUCGUGUCGGCUGGCAUCAAUGUCGGCUGACACGACGCCAUCGCGAGCAGGCUCACUCCUACA
rnacentral:misc_RNA from 1 species